rnacentral:lncRNA from 1 species
CACUCCUGCCCAACGCCUGCUCCCACUCCUGCCCCAACGCCUGCUCCAACUCCUGCACCAUCACCUACACCAACACCUGCUCCAACUCCUACCCCAACACCUUCUCCAACCCCUGCACCGUCUCCAGCUCCUACUCCUCCAUCACCAGCUCCAACCCCUGGUGUGUCACCUCCCUCACCUCCUGCUCCACCUCAACCAGAGCCUGAACCUAAACCCAAGCCAGAGCCGGAGCCAUCACCAGCUCCAACCCCCAGUGUGUCACCUCCUUCACCUCCUUCUCCACCUCAACCAGAGCCUGAACCAAAACCCGAGCCAGAGCCGGAGCCAUCUCCGGAGUCAUCACCGGCUCCAACCCCCGAUAUGUCACCUCCCUCACCUCCUGCUCCACCUCAACCAGAGCCUGAACCAAAACCCGAGCCCGAGCCAUCAAUCUCACCGGAUGUUGCACCCAACUCCGAGCAAGAUGUUGAACUUAGCGUUCAAGAGUUCAGCAACUAUGAAGCUAUUCAGAGAUUCGAAUUGCUCUCGAAGCAAACCAAGAGGCCAUUUCUAGCUGUGAAGAAAGGCAAGGUCAAGUCGCCUAAAUUGCCAACCCCUUGGUGAGUUCAAUCAAUCUCCGAAGUUAUGUCGUUCAUAAGGGAUAAGAAAUAACAGAACAUUCCUCUUCUCGUUGUACGUCGUGGGUAGGAACGCGAUGAUUGUGGAAAAUUGCUCAGAAAUAACCCUUGCAAGAGUUUUACUCAUUUGAUUGUCUUUCUAUUGCGAUG